rnacentral:rRNA from 1 species
AUCCCAGCUUGCUGGGAGGCGUCGAGCGGCGGACGGGUGAGUAAUGCAUAGGAAUCUGCCCGGUAGUGGGGGAUAACUUGAGGAAACUCAAGCUAAUACCGCAUACGCCCUACGGGGGAAAGCAGGGGCUCUUCGGACCUUGCGCUAUCGGAUGAGCUUAUGUCGGAUUAGCUAGUUGGUGAGGUAACGGCUUACCAAGGCGACGAUCCGUAGCUGGUCUGAGAGGAUGAUCAGCCACAUCGGGACUGAGACACGGCCCGAACUCCUACGGGAGGCAGCAGUGGGGAAUAUUGGACAAUGGGCGAAAGCCUGAUCCAGCCAUGCCGCGUGUGUGAAGAAGGCCCUCGGGUUGUAAAGCACUUUCAGUGAGGAAGAAGGCUUGUCGGUUAAUACCCGGCAGGAAGGACAUCACUCACAGAAGAAGCCCCGGCUAACUCCGUGCCAGCAGCCGCGGUAAUACGGAGGGGGCAAGCGUUAAUCGGAAUUACUGGGCGUAAAGCGUGCGUAGGCGGCUUGGUAAGCCGGUUGUGAAAGCCCCGGGCUCAACCUGGGAAUGGCAUCCGGAACUGUCAGGCUAGAGUGCAGGAGAGGAAGGUAGAAUUCCCGGUGUAGCGGUGAAAUGCGUAGAGAUCGGGAGGAAUACCAGUGGCGAAGGCGGCCUUCUGGACUGACACUGACGCUGAGGUACGAAAGCGUGGGUAGCAAACAGGAUUAGAUACCCUGGUAGUCCACGCCGUAAACGAUGUCGACUAGCNCGUUGGGGUCCUUGAGACCUUUGGUGGCGCAGUUAACGCACUAAGUCGACCGCCUGGGGGAGUACGGCCGCAAGGUUAAAACUCAAAUGGAUUUGACGGGGGGCCGCACAAGCGGUGGAACCAGGGGGGUUUAAUUCGAUGCAACGCGAAGAACCUUACCUACCCUUGACAUCGUGCGAACUUUGGUAGAGAAUACCUUGGGUGCCUUUCGGGAGCGCACAGACAGGUGCUUGCAUGGCUGCCUCAACUCCGGUUUGGGAAAAAAGGNGGGGGGUAAAGUCCC